rnacentral:misc_RNA from 1 species
UGUCAUAGACAAUUUUCUUUCGUAGCUUUUUUUUCGACCGCCAAAAUGAAAACAGGUCAUUCAAUUCUGUUUUGACUUUAGCUAACUGAGCUUUAUAGCAAAACAAGGAAGUAAGAGGAUUGUCGGUGGAAAGAUUUUGGACGACGUCUCAAACAGACGUUUGGUUUGAUUCGUUCAACAAUCUCCUUCUGUUAACCCUACUUCGUUCCAGUCGCCUACGUACUAAUUAUAAUCCGCUAAUUAAUCAGUCAGAUUAGCGAUCAAGAUAAGCCGUCAUGUCAUAACUUUAUCACAACUUGUGAGAGAGUUUCAGGGUAAGACUAGUGAUUGAAAACUUGGAAAUGAGGUGGCAUUAAAAAAGAUACAGGAUAGAUACAAGUUUUAAGACGACUAGCAGAUCCAAGAAAGAAUACGACAAAAUGCAAGAAGGUGCCGUGCGGAAGACGACAACAUUCUCUACCGUCUCCAUUUGUCCGAACCCCGCCCAGAAGGUUAAGGACUCUGAGUCUUGUGCUGUUUGCAUUCUAAAUAGCUCCAGGAGGGCUGAUCUUUACUAUAACAACUUUGGAUAUUUUUUCCCAUUAAAUCGAUCACUAAAAGGAAAACUGCGGCAUGACCUUACGCCCUCGGUAUCAAUGACAAUCGAUGAAAACGAGCCGGUAUUCAACACACAAUGAGGCUUAAAGCGGAACUCAAACGCCUUCGGUUCCAAGUCAGAUCUUCCACUAUUGUUGAACUUGACUUCUGUCCAACCUAAACUACUUGCAAGGAAGCGAGCAACUUCUUAAUCCAGUUAUACAAACCGCAGACGUUUGCUGCGACAAUUUUCUCUGUUUACGGGGCGCCUUGAAUUAAAUUCUACAACUAUCACGUGGAACAAUGCAGAGUAGAGGCGAAGCCACUGGCAGACGAAUGUCAUUUCCACAAGACAAUCACGGCCACUUAUUCCAACGAAGCAGGCCUCGGAAUCUUAGCAUUGGGUCAAAUAACAACAUCGAGGAGGAAAAUAGAAUCAUUCGUGCCGCCGUGUUGGGAAAAGAUGGCGUCGGAAAGACAGCUUUUACAGUACGUCUGUUGACACGUCGCUUCAUUGGUGAUUAUGAUGGAACUUUAGGUAAGUUGAAGAUUUGUAAUCAUUACUUCUCGGCAACAAAUUAAAGACACCUUCUGUCGACCACCAUCAGUUCGUGAAACUGCAAGGCAAAUGUGACGUGACCAAAGAACGGGUUAGGUCAAGAUGAUCCAAGUUCUAAGAUACUAACGAUAGCAGUUCUAAGCAAAAAGUUCUGCUCACUAGCUUUUUUCGAGACCGAUUCGGUUAACGUGUUAACAUCCUCGUUACUAUCCAAUUCAGAUCACGUGAUGAUUCAAUUGGAACAAAUGUGCAAUUUGCCACACGCAACGGAUUGCAUGGCAGCAGAUCAUUUUCUCUUGAUGGGAGUAUGUACAAACUGAAUAAUUGUUACCUCUCAAAUGAAUCAUCACGUGGUCUGAAUGGGGCGGCAACAAGGGUGUAAACACGCCAGCCGAAUCCGUCAUUCUGCUAGGCACAUUUAAGUCCAAAGACCCAAAGUGAGAAUUACUAUACACCGUUAGCAUGUCACAAUCAAGUUCUAUGCAUAUGUAAAUGCUGUUCAACAGCUAUUGACACACAGACUUGCACACACAGAAAGUACUGCUCAAUAGCUUUCAAUAGGUCAUGUUCGAUAUAAUAUCAAUAAUCUAACAUCGAUCCGAGGCUUUCGGGUAAAAAUUGCAACUUUGUUAAGUUUCUUUUGUCUCUCAGUUUCC